AGCCCAGCCAGCCGCACUGCGAGCUGGAACAACACAGGGAUAAACAGAAUAUCCACCUAUGACUCCAGCUUCAUGUCUCAUCCUCAUAAAAUGACUUUAUUCGGCAGUCUGGACUGAUAUAUAAACAUUGAAACCUCUGAAUUACGUGAUUUUCGGGAUACACUUCUCUGCCUGUAAACAGUUUAAACGACUUAUUGAACCAGCUUUCAACCCUGGUGUUGUCAGUGCGUCCAGUCAUCGAUCAUCUGCCCCCGGUGCCAGAAACGGUGUCAUAACAUAAUAAUGCGGCUUCACACAUUCAGCGGUGAUUCCUGCGGUAAUACCCGAGCGGUGGGAUCCGAUGGGACAAAUUUACAAGCAUGAAAUGACUAUCAAAGCUUCCUGCAGUCCGGCCGGCGAGGCUCCGGGUCGCGGACAAGCAGAGAAGCCUCGAAGCCGCGCAGGACGCACGGACUUUUACGCACAGAGAUACCGGAUCAAAUAAGAAACUGUGCUGACUUGUGCUCGUGGGGUUUGUUAAUUCAUUAAUUUGUUGCUGUUUGAAGAAACAAGGAGCAACUGGCAGCCUGAGGAGUCAAACUGAGGUCAAACUUUUUGCAGCCCCGCAGCUCUGCGCCCAAACGUGUUGGGAUCUGCAAAAAAAGGCCACCGAGUCUCUCUGCUUUGUGUCACUGCAGCAGCACACAGGCAGACCUGCUGCAAAGUUUUCACAGCUUAUCUAAUUAUAUGAAACUACUAGUUGUAUUAUCGCCUGUCAGAAUAUCCAGCACGAUUCAUUAGGGUGCAUUUAGUCGCUGUGAGCUCCGGUAGGGAAUUAUUCAGACAGGAAAAAAGGGCGAUUGAAAGUGCACAAUAAAAUGUUUCUCUAGCGUUGGAGAUUUAUUUUAAAGAGUGAGUGUAAAUGCGAGGUAGCAUGCGGUGCCAUAUAAGAACAGCAUACAUGAUUCUCCAUCAUCGUUUACAAAUUGUUACUAAUUUAUUAAAGUGUAGUGGUUAAAUUAUUUUAACAUAAAGUUUGUCUCAUAUUAUUGCACGAUAAUUUAUUUAAAUCAAUGAAUAUAUUGAUACACUUCCUACACUAAUAUCUGGGGAGUGAGUAACCUAUAAUUAUGGCUCCGAAACCAUCAUAGUUAAUAGUUUGGGUUGUGUUUUAUGGUGUAAAAUCACAAUUUUGGUUUAAUGGCAAGGCUCUUAUUAUCACAAUUCUCAUUUUAAAACAUGAAAUUUUUCAUUUCAACAGUAUCUUUUUUUCCUCAGAGUGUUCACUUCUGCUGGAUCCUGCAGUUUGGCCCAAAUGUUAAUGUGAGGCUCCUCUUGCCUCUCACACACAUGAAUGCUUAAUCAUUUGCGCCUUCUACCGGAGCUGCUGGAAAUUACAUGUACUGCAGGAGAGGCAGGAGAGAGGAGA